rnacentral:piRNA from 1 species
UGAAAGAUGCUUACAAAAUAA